GACGAACGCUGGCGGCGUGCUUAACACAUGCGAGUCGAACGGAAAGGCCCUGCUUUUGUGGGGUGCUCGAGUGGCGAACGGGUGAGUAACACGUGAGUAACCUGCCCUUGACUUUGGGAUAACUUCAGGAAACUGGGGCUAAUACCGGAUAGGAGCUCCUGCUGCAUGGUGGGGGUUGGAAAGUUUCGGCGGUUGGGGAUGGACUCGCGGCUUAUCAGCUUGUUGGUGGGGUAGUGGCUUACCAAGGCUUUGACGGGUAGCCGGCCUGAGAGGGUGACCGGCCACAUUGGGACUGAGAUACGGCCCAGACGCCUACGGGAGGCAGUAGUGGGGAAUAUUGCACAAUGGGCGGAAGCCUGAUGCGGCAACGCCGCGUGCGGGAUGACGGCCUUCUGGUUGUAAACCGCUUUCGCCUGUGACGAAGCGUGAGUGACGGUAAUGGGUAAAGAAGCACCGGCUAACUACGUG
rnacentral:rRNA from 1 species